rnacentral:lncRNA from 1 species
CAGACACACAGCAGGCACCUGGGCUUGGUGCACUGUCUCUCUAGUGAAACUUUCUGUCCGUCCUUUCCUGGGACUGUGGACGUUGUGUGUUGGUUGUGGUCUUAAUCCCUGCAUUUACAUUUAGUAUUCCUGUGCUGCUUAGAAAUGUGACCCCACAGUUCAGCCGAGAUCCUAUGAUCCAUGACCGUGAGCACUCGAGAUGAGAUGUCCCAGGAUUGUGACCCGUUUUGCUGACUGAAAGUAGUGUUGGGCUCUCAUUAAAUCUCCUUGUUUUUGCUUUCUUAACAGAGAUUGGUGCUGAGCCAAAUGCCAAAAUCUAUGUCAAAGUGGUCCAGCAGGUCCAUACUGAGAGAGCUUCUCAACAGGCAGCAGCUCAAGCUCCUCUGCAGGCUGGAGGUCUCCCUAGAAGAGCAGGUCCCAGCACAGGGGGAAGACCUUCCCCUGCCGUGUGCCCCCGCUCUGUCUCCAACACCCUGGCUGGAUGUAAACGCAAGGCCUUGGAGGAAGGGAAACCAACAGCAGCUCAGCAGCCUUCCAAUAAGAGAGUGAGGGGGCCGAGUGGAGACGGCGUGCCGGCUCCAGCAGCACACCCUGGGCCUGCUGCUGCUCGGAGCUCCAAGCAAAGAGGUGAGAAGGUGCUGUGGUACCCGCCGUGCUGAGGCGCUUCCCUGUGCGAGCACACUGAGUUUGCUUAGGGUUGGCUUUGCUUUUUCCUUCUCCAUGGAGGGGAAAAGAGUGGAAGGCUACAAAGUCCAAAGGCAGUGAGGUGCCCGAACGUGUAACCCUGUCUCUUCCCGUUAACUCUAUGGCAGUCUUCUGCACGCCUCCUGGAAAUGUCAUUCACUGGGAGGCUUCCUAGUCCCAUUUCCUCCGUCUUUUUGCUGCCUUCUGCUUGUACGGCACCCAUGUUUCUGCCAUUUCACUGUAGACAAAAUGCAUUCAUCUAUUUUUCUUGCCUUACAGAAAGAAGACGACAACGAAAAGAGAGGAGAGUGGAGCUGAAGAAGGCUGCCCUCAGAGCUGCUGCUGCACGUGCAGAGGUGAGUCCUUGGUGAACGCAGACACGGCUCUUGUUGUUCUCAGGGCCUCUGUCUGUCACACAUGAAAGGAAGAGACUGUAAAAUCCCGAGGGAAGUGGUGUCCUGUUUCUACCCUCGCUCCGUUUCUUCCCAGGCCUCCGCAGUGGACAGCCUUGUGGAGAUGAUGCAGAAGCUGCAGCUGAGGGACUGAGAGGAGGAGCGUCAGCAGGCAGCAGCUUCUGCAGUGCGUGGCGUUACAGGGCAGCGCUGAGUGCCGCCCAUCUCAGCACUCCACCUUCAAACGUAGUCAAUAAAAACCAGUCAAAUUUAUAGAUUCACAGAGAGCGCACGGCCUGAUUUGUCCAGCGGCACUCGGAGAGCUGCUGCACCACCUCCUCGUUAUUGGUCUCGCGGCGCUCGCUCAGAACUGCCACAGCUCCGUCAGCGAAUGCUGCCGUCCAGUGUUGCAACAAAGGCAGCAGUCCUUUGCACUGCCCACAGACAGACUGUCUGC